AUUCGUGGUAAAGACAUGUGCAAGUGACUCCUUCAACCAGAGGCGUCUGUCUAUAAAAUGCAGAGUGCUUUGGCUUCUUAGCUGGGUGUGCAUCUGUAGUUGGAUGCUAAGAUCACUAUCCUUGGACUACAAGUGUAGCUGAAUUUGAGAAUUGGAAUGUGCAUCCUGUAACAAAACAAUUUAAAACAUAGUCUAUCAAAUUCAUUUCCUUUCCUGUCUUCCCUGCCAGAACUGCAGUAGCAGUUCAUAGCAGCCUUUUAGUAAGGGCAAUCCCUUUCUGCAUUCCUAACCAGAGUCACAUCUGUCUGCUUAAAACACUCAAAUAUUCAGUUAUGUGUAUUUGGCUCAAGAGGUCUUUCCUUGUAUCAAUAGAACCAGCCCCCUCUGUUUUAUGUCCAGCACUCCCUCCUUCCCUCCUUCUAUUUCAUAUAGCAGUGCCUGAAUGACAUUUGGAAUCUGACAGUAUAUGUAAUGGGCAUUUUUAGUAGGGACUGUAAUUAAUGAUUAAUAUUUUAGCUGUGUUUGCAAGCUAAGUUUGAGUACUGGCAAAGCACAGUGUUGCCUAGAGUCAUGGGCUGAUGGAGCAGCAGAACUGUGAGCUUCAUUUAGGCAGAUAAACCCUCUGAGUCACACACAGGGACAGCAAAUCCAUGCCAGCACUGAGCUGCCUGGCUCUUGGAGCAUACAGCCUUCCUCUCACAGCUUCUGUGUCUGAUGUGAAGUGUUACUGGGAUCUGCCUCGUGAUGCUGGUAUCGUGAUUGAUCUAAUGUUCUUGUAAUGUUUAAUUAUGAAUUAAUUAUAGCAUUUAUUAUCGAUUUUUUUCUUAAUGUGUUUGCGUAAAUUAAUAGACAGCUCUACUGCUUAAUAGGGCUGCAGGAACAGUAACAGAAUGAGGGGAAGCAAGCUUGGGUACAGUGAGUACUGCUUUUAUGUUGUGGGUGCAGAACACAGGAAAAGGAGACAGGAAUAGAAGUCUGUGAGAAGGGAUCACACAGCCAUUACUUAACAUUUCCUUAGUCAGAGCUGCCCAGGAAUGCUCUCCUUGUGUCAUCCAAAGCCUUGGCUGGUCAGCAGACCUGAAGUUUGGAGAGGAGACUGACAGUGUUUGCUGGAAGCACUGAACAUCCCCCUGGCACUGGGAGCCUCGUGCAGCAGGUCCUCUGCAGACAGCCAGGGUUCAGAGGACCAGGAUUUGGAGGACCAUCUCUCAGUGCUGGUCCUUUCCAAGGAGAACAGUGCAGCCUCAGACCUCGAUGAAGGAUUUCUUUUUGAGCUACGGGUGCCUGUUGUCGUAGCCCAGCCUCAGCCACCUGCUGGCUGGCAGGCUCUACUGUCUGUCCAGGACAUUUGUCAGUGAGACCUGGUGGGGACUCAGCUAUGAAAGCAACAUCUGGGUUGCUUUGCUUGUUAGGGAUUCGUUAGGUUGGACAUCUCAGCUCUGUGAUGUUUUUUUUCUAAGACCUUCACUGGAAGCUGUAUCCUCCCAGCUUCAGUUUCCUCUGCCUGCAUGCUGCUGGCUUGGGGGCUCCUAGGGUUGCUUGUUUCAAACCUUUAUGCUAUCCAGGGACACUGUUAUAUAUUUUAUAAUAAAUCCUUUUCAUUCAUUGUUCAUUUAUUUUCAGAUAGCAUUUUCCUUCUACUGCUCUGAAAGCUCUUCUGUUCUUAGAUUUGAUGUUCACUUCUGUGAUUUGUCCUGAUGUUCUCUGCAAUUAUAAGUUUUAGUAGUGUUGAGGUGAACGUCUAAAUGAUUUGGUGGAAUGGAUCCAAAGUGACAUAAACAGGGUUGCUCAAUAGAUGAGAGCCCAAUCAUAUCCAUUAACACAGAGCUGACAUUCACCUUAUGUACGAGUGUAUGCAGAUUACAGUCCUUUGGCUCUGAUUUGCUCUUCACUUAGGUAUUUACAACCAGUUUGGGCUUUAGAGAGUGAUGCACUGAGGGUUAGACAAAGGUUUUAUUACCAGAAAUCACCCCGUUAGAUGGUUUGUGGGUAACGAAGUGGCAGAGGGACCAUUAUGAUCCUGUCACUGUAAAAUGGUAGGUAGCACAGCUCUACCUGCUGUGUUGUAUGUACUGCUGCUCUUCAUAUACAUGCACUGGGGGUAUGCUGAGCUGUAUUUCUCUAUGGUGUCCUCAUUCUGUUCUUAUAAUUGGUGGGGAGAGGGGAGAACCUUACUCGGUACAGCCUGGCCAUCUUCAUGGAAAAAAACACUUGAUGGUGCAUAAGCUUAAGAGGAGCAACACCUGAAUGUUCAUUAUGCGGGAUAUAUGUGCAGUGUAGCCCAGUGACAAUGGAUGCAAGCAUUCCUUCAUGGCAGUGGAUUAAGGCAUUGCCCUUCCUCACAUAUAUCAGACCAGCAAAAAUAAAAACACAUUUGUAUGCUCAAUGAUUUGAAGGCAGCAAGCACACCCCAUCCCAUCAUAUGUAAUCUGCUUUGGUGUUUCUAAGCAAAACAAAUAUUUCCUAAGGAGUUAUCAUGAACAGAUGGACUAACAUUCGUAAAACAGACAGUUCCCUUUUGAAGAGAUUUGUUUGAAUAAAAUAGAUUGUUUCCAUUGAGAUUUAAACUACAGUUUGCUUUAAUUAUUUUUAUAUUUGGCCAUUAUACUGUGAGCAUAUGAAAUGGGCAAAAUGCUGAGAAUAAUUAGGCAGAGUGGUCCUGAAUACGCUGGUGAAUCUGAAAAACCAUAUAUAAAAGAAAGCAGCUAUCUGUGGAGCUGCCAAUUCUACUUACAUAAGCCCAUCUGUUUACAUCUUCUCCUGUUCCCUGAAGAAGAAUACAUCUUAUGUGAAGAAUUCCCACCAGGUCCCUUAGACAUUUUAUCAUUCAAGAAUGUUCUUCCUGUUUGUUCUCUCUCUUUCCUUUAUAAGAAAAGAUAGAAUUAAUAUUUUCACUGCUGUCUCUUAGAACAUUUACAAGACAAAUGCUUGACAGCAUAUAAAAUUACAUGAAUUUCUUCUCUUCUGAUUCUGUAAUGAAUAAAAAUGUUUGCAAACCACUUAUAUACACCUUUGACUCACAGUGGCUUAUAGUCGUUUCUUCUCUUAGUUCCCCAUCCUCCUCUAUUCUCAUCUGAAGCCCUCCAACCAUCUCUUGUGAAACCAAAAACAGCUUAUUUUAAAUCUAAUUGACAUUGUGGGAAGGCUAUCAAAGUGUAAAUUCUUGACAUAAACUGUAGGGGCACAACAAAUGCAAAACAAAAUGAGGUCAAAUCAAAAAGGAACAAAUUCCAAUUAGUCCCUUCAAAGCAAUCUUGAUUUUGAGUUUUGAAUUUUGGAGGUUCUUCUUGCCAGCUCCCAUGGAACUGAAAGAAGUUAACUCAUCUCACUUCUGACAGUUCCCAGUCAUUUCUGGUGUCUCAGAUGCUUGGAAGGCUUUCCUGCAGCCUGCUCCUCUCUACCAGGUGGGUCAUUCCAUUCUGACCACCCAAAUAUGCUUUAUAUUUUGAACUUUACAGCAACUGAAGGCAGGGAGCACAGUGCGGUGCUCUUUCCAUGUUGUAUUCAGAGAGCAGUGUUUUGGAAAAGCCAAUUGUUUCGUGUUGCUGGGUUGUUGGCAUAGAUCUCAUGUGGAGAACAUGGGCUCGGCAUCCUUUCCUGGCUUCGAACAUUGAUACUCCCCAGUCUCUCCUAGCAGUGAUUUCUCAUGGACUUCCAUACAUCGUUGCUAGGGCUUCUGCAUCACUUGUGGGGAAUUAUUUUUUACCUUAUAUCUGACCUCUCUAUCCUAAGCAGUGGCUAUCAGUAUGAUAACUAAGGAAAUUAUUCCAUGGAUCCUUUAGAGAUGGGAACAAAAUGGGCGGUUUCCUCUUAAUGUAAGAUGGCCAUGAGUCAGGUAUGGGGUAUGUUUUCACUGUGCUGUCUUUCUGUGAGAGCUGGGGUAGGAUGGAGCAUGCACAAGACCAGUUGUCCAACGUUUUUGUACUUUUGAUGCUUGUGUGGAAGAUGAGGCACUCCUCCCAGGCCUGCUGGACCAAUUGAUCUUGAACUGAAAACCUUUGGGAUUUGGGGUGUUAGCACAUUUUUUCCCUGAAGGACAAAAAAAGAUUAGGCAGAAGGAGAUGAGAUUUUUAAGACCGGUGUGGUUAUAGACAUUUGUCUCUGUACUUUUUGCUUUGCCUAGGGGCUCUUCCGUACAGAGGAGACAGCAAACGAUACCCGAAACUGAUUAAUGCUGGAUUUCUCCGUGCUGGCAGCAGCAUGCUAAAGGCUUUGCUGGUGCCUGAUGGAGCUGGCCUUGAUUCUUCUGCUGCACUCGUGCACUUUUUCAUGGAGAUCUUUAUGGCUAUACAUAAGGUGUACUAUAUAAAUGUGUUUCUGUUUUUAUCUGAGUGGUACCUGAGUGUGUGCAGAUGACGUCUGAACCGUGUCAAGAAGUGAAUUUACAGAAAAGAGCAGUGGAUAGACUACUCUGGGCUUUCUCCUCAGUAACCUACAAGAACUAAAUUUGCAUCAGAGACUUUGUAGUGGAAUCGUCAUCCUGCUAUGACUUGCUUUUUUAGCUGUUGGUGUUUUUUUUUUUUUUUACUACUAUUUCUUUGCUGUGUUGACUUUUGCUUUGAUAGGUAUUUUUUUAUAAACAACGUUAAUCUUUUUUUUUUUUUUUUUUUUUUUCUUUGCUUAUUCUAACAGUGGCUUUUCUAGGUAGAUUUUCAAUAUGUUUUUAUCUUUUUGGAACCUGGAUGUGCUUUUCUCUAACUGUUUAGCUGUAGCAAAAUAUUCCUCCCGACCUAUCCAGCAAUUCCAGCAAUCCAAAGCAGGGAUUAAAGGAAAGGUUCACAUUUGAGAGUAAAUCACAGCUAAAGAAAUCCAGACCGCUGUUGGGUUCUCUGUUGAGGCCUUUGAAGAUGCAGCCUAAAACUCUUUUUAACUACUUGGCUCUGUCAGCUACGAGGGGGUCAUCAUCUACUAUUUCCAAAUGGUUAGCAGAUAAAGUCUUACGGGCUUGGAGCAAGCCCAAUUGUAUGGUGAGUCAAUUUAUGGAGAAGUAUCUCUUGUAUCAGUAGUUAAAAUUUUAUUACAGAUGGCUCAGAUACUGAGCUUGAUUUAUUCUUUAUAUCUCAGUUAGUGACAUGAGUGAAUUGUCUACAGAAAGGCCACGUUGUAGUUAUUACAAAAUAAAGGGCAAGUAGCAAAGGUAGCUGCUUCAUUGUGGCCCAUAUCUCUUCUUAUUUUCAGCAGCACAGAGAAUGUGGAAAUAAAACCAGACUUUUCUUGGGCUGUUGCUGCAACUCUGCCACCUUUGAUUGUACCUAAGGAAGUGCUUGAAGGUACUUGAAAACUUGAAGAAAAAAUUUGAAGAAAACUUGAAGGUUCAAAAUGUCUGUUCUACAUUCCAACAAUUUUUUUUUCACCUGCUGAUAGUAUAUGACCUGAUUCCAUCCUUGUCUAUAACUAUGAGGCCUCGCUUUAAGUCAUGCAAGGCAAAGAGAAGGAAAUCUUAAUGAUUUGAGUUUGGUUGUGUAUUAUUAGACUUGUUUAGAACUGAAAAUUCCUUGCACUUCUGGAAGCUGAAAGCCUGUCAUUUGCUGGGAGACACUCAACUAUUUGCACUGCAUCUACCUCCAGGAAAAAAAAAAGAUAAAUUUCUUAAAAUCAAAUAGAAAAACUCCUAUAUUCACCAUCAUUUUUCCUCUCUUCUAAGAUGAAAAUGCAUAGCGAUCUAUGCAGAAUCCCUUGUAGAACACGUAAUCUAUUUUAAACAAAACCUAAGAAUGUACUGGGAUUAUAAAAUUAGACAGAAAAUGUUACGCU
rnacentral:lncRNA from 1 species